ACGUGCUCUUCCAGUGCGAACCCGUCGUCCGCGGUCGUCAGUCGAAGCUGGUUCGCUCGCGCGUCACCGCCACAAUGCUUUCGCGUUCCCUACGUCGUCAGUCGGUUUCCGCGAACGCCACGUGAUCACUGUUGCUUCGCCCGUCGAAACUCGUUUACGUACAAUACGCAUUACCGCCGUCAUUGGUUGCGUGAUCGUUUGUCGUUCGACAUUACACCACCGCUGUACAUUUUUUCGUAAAAACAAAAAAAAAAAAAAACAAUAAUAAAUAAUUGACGUUGCCAACAGAGCAGAGACACUAACGUGUACGACGAUGACGGUGUAACAGCAGUAGAAAAGAGUCGAAAGUCGAAAGCGCCGAUUAAAAAAGGGCGUCCCUAAGCGCUGAUACCAAAUAACUAGUCGGGUGAAAAUUUUUAUUAAUAUUUUCAACACGGGUUCUCGAUCGUGGCGUCGGCGGUCAUCCGUCGGUGGUGCCACAGCGGGUGACGCCGGCGACGGAUACGACGGUGGUGGUGGUAGUGAACGGCCACCGUCGUCGGCCACCAUGAAGCUGGUGUCGCGGCUCCGGGGCGUGGAAAACCGGGACUGUGGCCACCAGCAAUCGGUACCGCCACCCCCACCGUCCACGUUACCCGGUGGCCGGCGGUUGAGCGUCGCGGCUGCCCCGCAGCGUACUCCAUCCGCGAACGUCACUGCGGUGACCGCCAGGGACCGGUCUAGGUCACUGUGCGUCGAACGGCUGGGCCUGGCCACGCUCCUACACCCGGCCGCUAUACCAACCAGAGAUCUCAACAGAAGGCGGGCCUCGUCCGCGUUGUCUUCGUCUAAUGAUCUCAUAUCUCGGCGUGGAGUGUUUAGCAGACGUCAUUAUGGAUCCGUUGAGUUGUUACCUCAAUUGGAUGCUUCUGGUCAAGAUCCAGGUGGUAGAAGGUUCCGAAUUGAAAAUGGUGAUUCUCUGGGAGAAAAAGAAGAGAUUUUUGGAUCUCCGUGUACACCAGUCCUGGAAAAUCCAGAGUUUCAGACAAGAUGGUAUUUCAAAUACUUCCUGGGAAAAUUACACCAAAAUUACGUUGGAUCGGAUAUGGACAAGGUUCCGUUUUUUUUGUCCGUCGUGCUGACAGAUGCUAAUCAUCAAUGCGUACCUCAGUAUAGAGCAAUUUUAUGGCGCAAAACGGGAGCACAGAAAAUAUUAUUACCUCAUACUCCGAACAAGCCAAUGACGGUUAAACAGAUAUUGAGUAAUUUUCCAACAAUGGAAAAAUUAGAAAAAGGUCCAAAAGAAAUAUUUUCACCGGAAAUCCAAAAGGAUUUAUUGUUACUAGAAGAGCAAGAAGGAUCGGUGAAUUUCAAAUUCGGUGUGCUGUACACUAAGCCUAAUCAACUUACUGACGACGAGAUGUUGAGCAACGAAACCGGCAGUGAAGAAUUUAAUCAAUUUAUAUCGCUUUUGGGCAAUCGGGUACUGCUUAAAGGAUGGGACAAGUACCGAGGAGGACUGGAUGUAAAAGGUGACAUGACGGGCGAGUAUUCGGUGUACACAAUAUAUGAAGGACACGAAAUCAUGUUUCACGUGUCCACAAUGUUACCGUAUUCGAAGGACAACCGACAACAGGUAGAGCGAAAACGUCACAUCGGAAACGACAUUGUCAACAUCGUGUACGUAGACGGAGGCACGACGCAAAUGUCUCAGUUCAAUCCCGCGUUCAUCAAAUCUCAGUUUACUCACGUGUUCGCACUAGUUGCGUACGACUCGUCAGACAACAGCUAUAAAUUAGUCGUGUAUUCCGAAGAAUCCGUACCGCUGUUUGGACCGUCGUUGCCGUGUCCUCCUGUGUUCAAGAUACCUCAAGAAUUUAGAGAAUUUCUGAUUGUCAAAAUGAUAAACGGUGAAAAAGCUACGUUCAAUACACCCACGUUUGCGAAAAAGCGUGAGCGAACUCUUGACAUGCUCAUCAAAGACCUUUACUCGGACUACAUGUCGGAUUCUAGUAAAGUAGCGAUGCUGAACAGACGGGCGUUCAGCGACGUGCUGCCCGACCCGCCGAGGAGUUCGCGGCGUAAGGAGGAAGCGCGGCAGGUGGAGUUCGUACGCAUCGGCCAGGCGUUGAAGUUGGACACCAUCGUUAAGGGCGACGCGCCCACCAGUCUGGCCACGACGGGCCUGUUCAAACGAGCCCCGUGGGAGCCGCAGUGCUUUUACCCAGACUUCGGCCACGACAUCGUGUGCGGCGACUCAUGGGGCGACAGUCGGCUGAUCGUCGGCACCGAAAACAGUGGCGUGUUCGUCAUUGAAGAUGGCGUGUCGCAGAGACAGAUUUUCGACAAAACAAUACAAGCUAAUCAGUUGAACGUCAUCGAGGCCCACGGAAUCCUUUUAUUCAGAGCCGAAAAAGGACGCGACAGCAAAAUAUACGUAUUCAGACUAUCGGAAUUCGAGCCGGAAACUCAAAAGGAAGUAAAAAGCAAAUCUGAUCUGAAAGACCAUAAAUUAGAACGUACCAGAGGGUGCAGUAUGUACGCGAUCAGUAAGCCCGGUGGUUCGCGGCUUAAAAUGGUAAUCUGCGUGAACCGCAAACUGACGCUCAUGCAAUGGAAACACUCGGCCGCCUGGACAGCUUGGUGCCCGGCCAGCGACACGGACACGGUUGAAGGUUUCAUGUAUUUGAGGGAGUUCCAAAUCGCCGAGCAGCCGUCAAUCAUCACAUUGAUUGAGUCGACGGUGGGCGGCAAUUCGGACACGUGCAGCAUAUGCGUCGGCUACAAGCAUCAGUUCGACAUCAUCACCGAUGGGUCGGGCACCGCUCAACGGUUGUUCGCCGUCCAGGAGGGCACCAAAGCUCAUCUUGUGUCCGCCACGGAUCUUUACGAGGACGAAGAGCCCGAGUUGCUUUUGUGCUACAACAACACUUGUCAUUUUCAAAAACUCAGUGAGACGAACAAUACGACCGAAUUCGAUUUCCAUUGGAAUUCCAUUCCAAAAGACAUAGUGUGUACCUUUCCGUACAUCAUAGCAUUUACAACGGAUACAAUGGAAAUCAGACUCAUAAUAAACGGCAAUCUAGUGCAGACAAUGGCGAUGCCGAAAUUGAAAUUGAUUUGCUCCAAGAAUGAUAUAUAUUUUGCCACUACGGCUCCAGAGUUUUUCCACGGAAAAAUGGAAAGGCUACAAAUGGACCAACAAAAAGUUGAACGAGAGAGCAUGUCACCACCUGCUUCACCGCACUUGUCUCCGGAAACGAAACCGCUACGCUUGUACCGGAUACCUUUGAACGCGCUGACCGGCGUGAUCGGCCCGUACGACCGGAAGUGCGUCAACGAGACGGACGACUCGAACGAGAACAAGGCCGUGGAGAAUCUGAAAUCGAUGGAGAUCAAGUCGUCUAGGGCGUCGGCGAGCAGGAGUUGUACGGCCUCACCAACCAUAGGCCUGAACCCGCAAAACCACCUGCUGCACAAAUCAUGAGCGGACCCCAAGCUAGUGGUUCCUCCUCGCAUGAUAAACGUACACGUUAAACGUUAACAUAAAAUAUAUUAAAACUUCGAUUUUCUGAACCGAAGUCCCCUGCUGUGGUUGGAUUUAGGGACUCGGAUUUAGUCCAACGGCUGCAGACUUUCUCGUCUCGUUCAUCAGAUCAUCGAAUCAUUUUCUAUAAGUUUUUUGUUUAUUUUUUUUUUUUUGUAUAUAACUAUUACGCAUUAUAUUUUAACUAUACAUUAUGGUGAUGUUUUAUUCUAUUGGGAAAACAAAUUUUCUAUUUUUGGUAACUAUAUAUAUAUAUAUAUAUGGUAAAAUACUGAUAUCACUUUACCUGUACAUUAAGCAUAAUUAUCGUUCAGUCGCCGUUUGUAUAUACGACAAUUGCAGCGCAAAAUAAUACAGUAAUAGUAAAAGCAGUAUAAUAUAAUAUCUAUAAACAUUAAUUUUACAGGGACGUAAUAUUAACAGUUUAAAAUCGUUUUGAAAACCUAUCCCGGUGUCAUAGAAGCGAAUCUGGGUAAUAACAUUUUUUUGUGCAAUUGAACGUACGAACACGUCUCGUCCAGUAAUAACGUUUUUCGUUCAUAUUUUUACAAAUCAUUGAAUAUAUAUACCAAAAAACGAUGAUACAGAAGUAGAACUUAAAUCCCAUUCUACACUUUGCACUGCGACACUGCAAAAGUAGUAUCUAUAUUAUAUACUUGUACUUUACUAAUAAAGACUUCAACGCCACCGUCGUUUCCCUCUGACACUAUGCUGUGUUCUGCAGAUAUGAAACAAUGCAAAGGCUAUGCCUCUCAAUAUUUCUCACACCACAACACUUGUAAAAUUGACUGUUCAUAUUUUAAGAUAAUGGUUUAGUGGGUUUGUAGCCUGUUCAUAUCCACUCCCUCCCCAUAAACUAUGAUUUUAGACCUAUAUGCUGUUGGCCCUAUGAACUUCCACGCAAAUCAUUUAUCGAUCGUUCUUAAUUGCACCUAUCUGCCAGUAAAAUACAUCUAGAUCCGCUCACGAUCAAUCUCGUGGUAUAAAGCUACUGGAUAAUCACUGCGCCACGGACAGUUUAGCCUUAUUGCGUUUUUCGGAAUACACCAUAACCGUAUUUGUUAUUAUUUUCUUUCCGACUGAAUCAUUUCAAUAUUCGUUGUACUUGUACAAUACGUCUUGUACGAUUUAAUAAUACCUCUUCCUACGAGUGAACGUUCGGUGAUUGCAAACUGUGCCCAAGGUACAGGUAAACACAAAAUCGUACAUGUAAACUGCGCCCGAGUUUUUAUCUAGUGUAAUAAGGUUAUAUGUAAACUGCGCUCUGCUGAAAUUUAACAAAUUGAUAGCUAUAUUUAUAUAAUGUAAUAAUAUAUAAAUUUAAACAAAAUUACAAUCUUUAA
rnacentral:misc_RNA from 1 species